GAAAGAGGAACAAACGACCCUCUCACUUGUGUCUCGCGGCCAGCAGCCAGACGCAGCCCUAGCAACAUGGCUGGGUCCAGAGUUUCCUCCAGACAGGUACACCCUGUCACCACGGACAGUCAGGCCUACUGACCGCGAGGAAAAGCCCAGGCUCCCCAUGAUGGGACGUGAUCGUCAUCAGAAGCAAAGACUCCUGCCGUUCCCGUUACCUGCUCGUGAAACCUUACAGGCCCAGCAGAAUCAGGACGUUGCUCCCUGAGCCGCCACUGGUACAGCUCAUGGGGCUUGCUGAGGGCCGGUCUGUGUGUCUUCCUUGACCAUGAGGACCACAAGGGAAGGAUCAAGUCUAAUCCACCCCGAGCAUCCAGUGCACCCACAAUGGACACCAUAAAUGUUUGACCCAUGGAUGAAUGAGUGAGAGAUGGCAUCCCAGCGAGCGGCAUGCCCCGGUCCAAUUCCCAGGGGCCCAACGGUGGCUCCAUUCCAUUCACUCCUAUGUGGAAAACCUG